UACGUAGGGUCCGAGCGUUAAUCGGAAUUACUGGGCGUAAAGCGUGCGCAGGCGGUUUUUGUAAGCCAGAUGUGAAAAUCCCCCGAGCUUAACUUGGGAACUGCAUUUGGGACUGCAAGGCUGGAGUACGGCAGAGGGAGGUGGAAUUCCACGUGUAGCAGUGAAAUGCGUAGAGAUGUGGAGGAACACCGAUGGCGAAGGCAGCCUCCUGGGCUAGUACUGACGCUCAUGCACGAAAAGCGUGGGGGAGCAAACAGG
rnacentral:rRNA from 1 species